AGCCCUUUAGCUGGAUGGAGUCCAGUGUCCAGGAGAGACUGACUAGACAAUGACCCCCCUCUUCAGUGGAACUCAGCACGGAAGGGCUACCAUCUUCAGAAGAGGACAGCAUCCCUUUCCCCGGUUCUCUUUGUGCCCACCUUGCCCUAACAUUGAGCCUCCACAUCAUCAGCUGCAAAGCGGGGGUAAUACAAGUUCACUGCCCUAUGAGGGAGGACUGGUGUUCUUCCCAUCUUACAGAAAGAAAGAAAGUGGCAGCCCAGCUGGGACAAAUCCAAGCAGCCCACCAAGACCCGCAAGGACCUGGAGACACGGUGCGGCAGGCACACGUGCAUUCUGCGGGGUACCAGGGGGCCAGCCGCUCCCCAGCAGGUACAGUGGGAUGUCAAGCAAGGGGAACCUGGAGGCAGGUGCCUCGGGUUGAAUGCCACGUCUAUGGGAUCUUGGGAAGUCACUUCACGUGUUUUCCUUGCCUGUAAACGGACGACUCUCAGAGUAAUGAAACAUUCGCCUCUGCGGUUAACAGGGGUACUUGGCCCCAAAUAAACAGCCACGAACAAGGGACAUGGAAGGCGUUGAAAAGGAAGUUGUAGACAAGCUUUGUGGCGUAGAUACAAAACAAAGAGGGGAAAACUGGAAAGUGAUGGAAGUGAUCUAUUAACUAGGGAUCUUCAGAUAUCACUGGAGACAAAAGCAAUCCACCAAGGUGGGAAAAUCAAACCCUCAAAAACGGUGGCUCUGACAAGAUGGGGCAGAAGGAGACAAGGCUGGGGUCACAGUCAAGGUUAGGACAGUGUUUUCAGUCUUGCAAUAUGUGAAGGUAAUCAAGAAUUUUUUAUUUUUUUUCCCAGGAAACUGAGAAUUCUUUAUUCCCACUAUAAUGUUGUUUUUUUUUUUAUGAAUGAGAGAGUAUUGUUCUUCUCCUUUCACGAAAGAGAAACAUUUCUCAGUCACCAAGUUGAUAAGUUGUAAAAAUCCUUUGGUUUUGUGUACUCAAGUCCUAUUCUGCCCUCAAAGCAUCUGGAUUUUCAGUGCUGCUGGUGGACAUGAAAUGA